UAUAAAAAUACCCAUGUACAUGUGGACUAGGCCAUAGUUGCAACUCUUGCGUCAUCAGAACAGGGUGUUCAACGCACCACCGUUUCCGUUUAAAAACGUGUUGCAACGUUUUGUCGGGGCUGAACGCAGCCCUGUUCUGAUUGAGUGUGUUUUUGCGUUGCACCACGCCCUAUUCUGGCGUUUGGUGCGGUGCGGACAGACAAAUUGCUUCCGCUGGAAUCUCGUUGCGUCGCUCCUAAGGAAAUAUAAACUUUAUGGCAACAGUCCAGCAUUCCUUUUCUUGCUUAUAAAUUGCAUAAAAUGUCAGUAAAAUAUGAUUUGACUGGCUGAAUAAGGCACUUAAUGGAGGAUGACUGUGUUAGAUGAGUCUAUAAAGCCAAGCUGAGCUGCCAGAGCAAAAUACUUGUAAACAGUACACAAAUUGAGAUUUGCAGGAGUCAAGGGACUGUGCCACCUUCCUGUCAUUUCCUCCCAAGGCUCACCGCUCAAACAUAGCCUGUGGCAAGAAAUCUGCAGUUUUCAUGGCAUCAUCACUUCUUUGCCUGUUAUGGAGUCAUUUCCCAAAUUGUUCUGCUGAGACUACCUGGCUUCCAGUAAGUCUUGCUUUCACUUUCACUCUGCUUCCAAAGCCUCAGGGCAGGGCACUCUGAAUCUGACAUAUAAGGGCUUCUUUUUACACUGCCUGUGGCUAUGGAUCACCCGCACUGACGUGCUUCUGUUAAAAUAUUCCUAAAGUAUGUUGUGUUAUCUCCUCACUGUAUAUGCAAAGUUCCUUGGGGUGCAUUGCAAUGAAAAGGAUGCUGUGAGUUCCUGGACGGAGGUAUACAUACAGAUGUUAUCAUUGCAGACCCGAAGGCUGAGUUUCUUGGAAGGGGUGGAUGAAUUGUGACUUGACUUCCAAUCCACCUACAGCAUUUAAAGAAAAAAAAAAAAAUUAAAUAGUACAACCAGCACUGCUUGAAGAACUUGUUGCCGGGGAACGAGAUGGUAACAGGUCAUGGAACACCCCCUCAGGGUUUUGUUCAAUGAGAUGCAAGUCAUCCUGUCUGUCUGUUUGCCUCUCAGAGCAUAUGCUAACCUUCAGCUAUAAAAGGGAUAUGGUAGUAUUCUUCAUCAACUGAACAUCUGUUAUUGCACUUUCCGAGCACAUUUUUACUCAGUUUUAUCAAAUCACGUUAUGUCAAUAGCAUGAUACACAUUUAUUAACUUUAAAAUUAUAAAUGCAACGAUGAGCAUGCUUUUAAUUUCUAAAUAGGAAUUUAUUUUAACAGUUUUAUGGGGCAUAAAGUAAAAAAAAAGUCAGGUUGAUGACUGACAUGAUACUGUAAUGAAGUCUUAUUAAAAGAAUAAAAUUCUUGAAAAGAAAGUGUAUAUAGUCGUAGAAGUAAUUUGGCUUGAUCUUUUAUUAUUAUUUCUUUUAAAUGAAAAAAACAAGUCAUGUGAUCCAACCAACAUGCAGAAAAAAAUAAAUAAAACAGGAAAUAUUAUAGAGAUGAUCCCUGCUGACUGACUUAAGUUUCUUAAAAUAUCAUAUAAACAUUAUACUACUUUAUGUAAUUGUACUAAAUUAUAUGAUAUUUUAUCAUAAAGGUGUGUUCAGGUGCAUUGUUGGCAUGUUGCUAUUUUGAGGCAACUGAAAACGACUGUGGCAUUGCCCAAAAAAAAAAAAACUGGUCCAAAGUCAGUGGUGCAGUAAUUUUUGCAGUAAUGACGAAUGAAAUUGGCUAAUUAUUUGACCAGUCGGGGCAAUACACACAUGUAUUUAAACUGACUUGUCAGGUUGGGGGUGUCUAUAUUCUGCCAUGUAAAUAGCAAUUUGCCAUGGUGCAAGCGCACCUGGCUUUUAAAGAGAAUGGGAGAUGAUACUCUGGUUUAUUGCCCAAAACACACCCAUGACUCAUUUCACGAGUUCACACUUACAAAUAAGUCAGAUAAAAUAAAUGGUAAUUGUUUUUGGCAUGCUGUCCGGGGAGAGGGCUCCGAGCUUUUUUAUUUGGCCCGAACACAGAGUACCCCCACCCCCCCUAUUUAGGUUAGGAAGUAACCAAGUGAGUGUGAGGAGACGGGGUGGUGGAGGGAUGCUGAAAAUUGUUGAGGAUUCAUGGGUGAGUUGACUGUGGUUAUAUAUAUGCCUGUACUCAUUCUGAUUGGGUAGAUAUGUUGAUUACUGAUUGUUGACAGCUGGUUGAGAUGAUGUGAUAGUUGGAUAACUUAUUUGACUUUGUUCCUCCUGAACUACGUUAAUAAAACAUCAUUAAGAGACAAGGUACAACCCACCAUUUUUUUCAUAGUUAAACUAACAAAAGUGGAUUCAGACAUUCCCUUACCUGCACCAUACACUUCAGACCAUGUGCUUAGAUUGUUAAAAUAGGGCCCAAUGUGGUGUGACUCCCUAAA